rnacentral:rRNA from 1 species
AUUGAACGCUGGCGGCAGGCCUAACACAUGCAAGUCGAACGAGUGGCGGACGUGUGAGUAAUGUCUGGGAAACUGCCUGAUGGAGGGGGAUAACUACUGGAACCGGUAGCUAAUACCGCAUACCAUCGGAUGUGCCCAGAUGGGAUUAGCUAGUAGGUGGGGUAAAGGCUCACCUAGGCGACGAUCCCUAGCUGGUCUGAGAGGAUGACCAGCAAAACUGGAACUGAGACACGGUCGAGACGCCUACGGGAGGCAGCAGUGGGGAAUAUGGCACAAUGGGCGAAAGCAUGAUGCAGCCAUGCAGCGUGUAUGAAGAAGGCCUUCGGGUUGUAAAGUACUUUCAGCGGGGAGGCGUUACCCGCAGAAGAAGCACCGGCUAACUCCGUGCCAGCAGCCGCGGUAAUUC